UUUCCCCAAUGGAUUUUAAGAAGAAAAGAACUUCCAAGAAGUGAAGUCAGUAUUUUUAUUUUUUCAAAUUUUCUUUUUCUUUUUUUCUUGAGAGAGAGAGAGAGAGAGAGAGAGAGUGGGAGAGGGGAAGAGUGAGAGAAAAUCUUAAGCAAGCUCCAUUCUCAGCAUGGAGUCUGAUGUGGGGCUUGAUCCCACAGCCCUGGGAUUAUGGCCUGAGCUGAAAUCAACAGUCGGAAGUUCAACCAACUGAUGCACCCAGGCACCCCAAAUCACUAUUCUUAAUGGACCAGCCUUGGAGGAGAUGAACCACCUGGAGCAGGAGUAGUGGGUCUAGGAGCGAUGGUUUGGGAAGUAGUAAGAGUUCAGCAUCGCAGCUGCAAUGCACAAAUUGAUGUUUAGAUCGUGCUGUGAAACCCAGCAAUGAUCCAGGAUCCAGUGGUAUUACCAGGUUAAGUAAGUCACCCAGGAUGACACAAUCAGGAAGUGUUAGAGAAGGAACAGGCACUAGCACGGUGUGACCAGAGGCCAUCUGGAUUUAGAGAUGCAAUAUCAACUCCUGAUAGGGUAUCCUGCCCCACUUUUAGACAAGUUAGGAAACAAAUGAUUCUUGUUUUACUUUUUAAAAUGUUUGCCUUCCUCCCUCUUCCACUGGUCAACAAAUAGCUUGAAUGAUUAAAGAGAUUGGUGCUGGGGCGCCUGGGUGUCUCAGUAGGUUGAGUGUCCGACUUCGGCUCAGGUCAUGAUCUCACAGGUCAAGAUCUCACUUUGUCUGCCUCUCUCUCUGCCCCUCCCCUGUUCAUGCUUGCUCUCUCUCUCUCUCUCUCUCUCUCUCUCUCUCUCUGUCAAAAAUAAAUAAACGUUAACAAUGUUUUUUUAAAUAAAUGAGGAGGUUGGUGCUAAGUGGGCUGCAUUUGUUCAGGGCCAACAGGUGGCUUAGGAGCAACUGGAAUAGACUGGCUCAGAAAGUAUUCUGCAAUAACGAAUAAGAUGCAAUUCAGUUCUUUCCCCCAAAUUACAGUGUUGAUUAAAAAAAAACUGCCACAGCUCCAUUUUUAAAAUAUAUGCUCUAAACUGUUUUCUGCCCUUUAGUCUACCUUGCAAGGCCACAUGCAAGCUACAAAAGAAAGCACCUUCUAUAUAGCAAUAAGCAGGCACUUAGAAGCUCAGUGAAAGAUCAUACAGUUUCCUAGUGGACAAAGUACUUAACUCCAUUAGUGCCAUAGGCUGAUUAAAUCACCCACAUUACAUUUCAACGGGGUUUCAGCCAAUUAAGCCAGCUCAAUUCAUCUCUGCUUUCUGGGGUCAUAAAGACAUUUAGAAACAAAUUUACGAUCUGGCCUGUUAGUGAAAUGACUUGUGGAGUUGUUUUUAAAUCAGAGUGACUAAAUUAAUAAUUAAAAAAAAAGUUUAAAAUGAUCUGAACUGGGUAUUUUUUUAAUAUUCAAAGCCAUCAUGAUACGACCUUAAUUACAUUCAGCAAAUGCUUUUUUCUUUCCUUCUCUAAGCAGACUUAGAAAGCACUGAACUGAGAAACCAACCAACUGGAACAGAGGAAGAAAUAAGCUGAAUUCAUUUUCAGUCAGGUGACCCCAUUGUGGAACUAUCUUCUUAGAGCAUUCAGUUCCCCUGAAUGAUAAUUCUACCAGGCAGCUCACAGGAGAGGGCAGAUUUGAUCCCUAAAGUAACAUGCAUCUAGAAAAUACAGUUUAGCCAAUUAGGUUGUUCAAUUUCUAGAACUGUGCAGAUACUGCUUCUGAUAUCUCUGCCCCUGAUUCAUCAAGUCCACCACAGAGAUCAUCUAUCAACAGACCUUUGCUGAAAAUGAAAACAACUGACAAGGAAGUACUUGGCUCCAGAGGCCUAUGGAUAAUGUUGCAGUUUCUGGCCGGCUCAGUGUUCAGCUUAAACAACUACUAUCAUGGAAAAAAAAGGGAGCAUAAAUAUCUGGACACAACAAGCAAGCUGCACUGUAGAUGGGAAGUAUAAAAUGGCCUGACACAGAGAAUAGAUCCCCAUCUCUACAUAACAGAGAUCAUCAACUGGCCAGUCAAUAAAUCCAGUUUUUUGAUCAUCAGUAACCAGCAAAGACAAAUGAUGUAUUGGCCAUGAGGAAGCCAGACCACAUCCAAGCUUGGCCAAUAUCAGAAACAAAAGCACAAACAACAGAGAAAGAAGAAUGACAAAAGAGAAAGGAUCAAUGACGGUAAAGUUUAUUGUAUUUGUAAUUCAUUCCAGGGACGAAAAACUCACUUGAGUCCAAGAAUUCCAUGUUUUAACCAAUAUAUUUUAAGUGGCUUGGGCAAUUGUAUCAUCUUGGCCAUCUCGGUGGGACCUCCAUCAACUGUCAAAGAUGGUUUUCAAAAAGUUAAUAACAUGAUUGUGUCACAAAUCUAAGCAUCUGUCGAAGAUUUAUUUAAUUCAGUAAUGAAGGAACCAACAAUCUGGGGAAGCCAGUUGCUUAAUAAUUUUUAUGAAUUUGAUAAAUUUUGUUCAUAAAGAUGGUGAAUCUGAAGAUAUUUUAACUCUAAUAAUGAGCAACAAUUUAGUAAGGCUUUAUUUUAAACCAUUCACCAAAUAAAUUACUUAAUUCUACAUUUUAAAUUGUGGUUACAGAACUAUGGCUACAUUGUUAACAUAGCUCAUAAUUGUGGAUUCAAACAUAAACAUUUGCUACUUCCAUCUAUAUCGAAUGGAAUUAAUAGAAUUUUCAU